GAUGAACGCUAGCGGCAGGCUUAAUACAUGCAAGUCGAGGGGUAGCAAGAUUGUAGCAAUACAAUUAUUGACGACCGGCAAACGGGUGCGGAACACGUACACAACCUUCCUACAAGUGGGGAAUAGCCCAGAGAAAUUUGGAUUAAUACCCCGUAACAUAGCGAUGUGGCAUCACAUUGCUAUUAUAGCUUCGGCGCUUGUUGAUGGGUGUGCGGCUGAUUAGAUAGUUGGCGGGGUAACGGCCCACCAAGUCUACGAUCAGUAGCUGAUGUGGGAGUAUGAUCAGCCACACGGGCACUGAGACACGGGCCCGACUCCUACGGGAGGCAGCAGUAAGGAAUAUUGGACAAUGGACGCAAGUCUGAUCCAGCCAUGCCGCGUGAAGGAUUAAGGUCCUCUGGAUUGUAAACUUCUUUUAUAAGGGACGAAAAAAGGUCUUUCUAGAUCGUCUGACGGUACCUUAUGAAUAAGCACCGGCUAACUCCGUGCCAGCCGCCGCCGUAAUAC
rnacentral:rRNA from 1 species